rnacentral:rRNA from 1 species
UACGGAGGGUGCAAGCGUUGUUCGGAUUUACUGGGCGUAAAGCGCGCGCAGGUGGAUGAGCAAGUCGGAAGUGAAAUCUUGAGGCUCAACCUCGAGGCAGCUCCCGAAACUGUUCGUCUAGGGACUGGUAGAGGCUGGUAGAAUUCCCGGUGUAGCGGUGGAAUGCGUAGAGAUCGGGAAGAAUACCCGUGGCGAAGGCGGCCAGCUGGGCCAGGUCCGACACUGAGGCGCGAAAGCGUGGGGAGCAAACAGG